rnacentral:misc_RNA from 1 species
GAUGAAGAACGCAGCGAAAUGCGAUAAGUAGUGUGAAUCGCAGAAUUCCGUGAAUCAUCGAAUCUUUGAACGCACAUUGCGCCUUCUGGUAUUCCGGAAGGCAUGCCUGUUCGAGAGUCAUUAACAACCGUUUCGAUCCCUUUCUUUCAGAAAUUACAAAGAGGAAAAGGGUUUGGUUAUGGUGGAGGAGGGAAAGGGAGCGUUUAGCCUGUAAAAAAAGAGGCUGUGUUCCGCCUCCCCCCCAAAAUUGUACAGGCGGUCGUGUGCGCCCACGCAUCGAGGUGUUGUAAAAGCUGCCACGGCACUUUUCACCUGUGCAGUGCGAGAUUGGCCAGCCGGUUUAAAAACCCCUCCAAACAAUCAAAGGUUGACCUCGGAUCAGGUAGGGAUACCCGCUGAACUUAAGCAUAUCAAUAAGCGGAGGA